AAAAAAGGUAAGCUACUAAGAGCGAAUGGUGGAUGCCUUGACUGGUAAAGGCGAUGAAGGACGUACUAGACUGCGAUAAGCUACGGGGAGCUGUCAAGAAGCUUUGAUCCGUAGAUUUCCGAAUGGGGCAACCCAAUGUAUAGAGAUAUACAUUACCUAUAUAGGAGCGAACGAGGGGAAUUGAAACAUCUUAGUACCCUCAGGAAAAGAAAUCAAUAGAGAUUGCGUCAGUAGCGGCGAGCGAAAGCGCAAGAGGGCAAACCCAGUGCUUGCACUGGGGGUUGUAGGACUGCAAUGUGCAAGAGGUGAGUUUAGCAGAACAUUCUGGAAAGUAUAGCCAUAGAGGGUGAUAGUCCCGUAUGCGAAAAACAAACCUUAGCUAGCAGUAUCCUGAGUAGGGCGGGACACGAGAAAUCCUGUCUGAAGCUGGGUCGACCACGAUCCAACCCUAAAUACUAAUACCAGAUCGAUAGUGCACAAGUACCGUGAGGGAAAGGUGAAAAGAACUGAGGUGAUCAGAGUGAAAUAGAACCUGAAACCAUUUGCUUACAAUCAUUCAGAGCCCUAUGUAGCAAUACAGGGUGAUGGACUGCCUUUUGCAUAAUGAGCCUGCGAGUUGUGGUGUCUGGCAAGGUUAAGCAAACGCGAAGCCGUAGCGAAAGCGAGUCUGAAUAGGGCGCUUAGUCAGAUGCUGCAGACCCGAAACGAAGUGAUCUAUCCAUGAGCAAGUUGAAGCUAGUGUAAGAACUAGUGGAGGACUGAACCCAUAGGCGUUGAAAAGCCCCGGGAUGACUUGUGGAUAGGGGUGAAAGGCCAAUCAAACUUCGUGAUAGCUGGUUCUCUCCGAAAUAUAUUUAGGUAUAGCGUUGUGUCGUAAUAUAAGGGGGUAGAGCACUGAAUGGGCUAGGGCAUACACCAAUGUACCAAACCCUAUCAAACUCCGAAUACCUUAUAUGUAAUCACAGCAGUCAGGCGGCGAGUGAUAAAAUCCGUCGUCAAGAGGGAAACAACCCAGACUACCAGCUAAGGUCCCUAAAUCUUACUUAAGUGGAAAACGAUGUGAAGUUACUUAAACAACCAGGAGGUUGGCUUAGAAGCAGCCAUCCUUUAAAGAAAGCGUAAUAGCUCACUGGUCUAGUGAUUUUGCGCGGAAAAUAUAACGGGGCUAAAGUAAGUACCGAAGCUGUAGA
rnacentral:rRNA from 1 species